CUAAUUUAUAGACGGUCUUUUAGCUAAGAUUAAGUGAAGUAUUUGUUCUUAUCAGUUUAAUAUCUUAUAUAAAGAAUUAAAUUAAUUUUUUAUGAAAAAGAGUUUGUUAUCUGCACGUGUUCAUGUAUUAUAUUGCGCACGCAACCAGGAGCGGAGCCACGUAUAGCUUUGGUGGGACAGUUGCCCCAUUG